GGAAGAAGCUCAUCUACCCAGACCCAGAUGCCUUAAUGGGGGCAUUUGAAAUUUUGCGGGACAAGCCCCCCAAAGACCACAUGUGCCUAUCGAUUUGCGCCUUCCUCCUGUGUUUUCCCAUAGGCAUUGUAGCCUUGAUCUUCUCUGUCCAGACAAGGCACAGCAACAUGUGGAAUAACAGAGCCUUGGCAGCCGAGACCUCCCACCAAACCUACUACAUUGCAGUCUUGGGGAUUGUUUUAGGAAGCCUCAUCACCCUCACCAUCUUGAUACUCCUCAUGAUGGACUUAUUUGCUCGUUAACCUCCUUUUCAGCAAACUACCAAAUAUAUACAACAGUGAUACUUACCUUGGCUCUAAGUAUCCAUUUGGGCCAAAUGGGAAAACCUUUUCUAAAUGUCUGGACUGCUAAG